rnacentral:rRNA from 1 species
UACGUAGGGGGCAAGCGUUGUCCGGAUUUAUUGGGCGUAAAGAGCGUGUAGGCGGCUUCACAGGUCCGCUGUGAAAACUCGAGGCUCAACCUCGAGCUGUCGGUGGAAACCGUGUGGCUAGAGUCCGGAAGAGGAGAGUGGAAUUCCCGGUGUAGCGGUGAAAUGCGCAGAUAUCGGGAAGAACACCCGUCGCGAAGGCGGCUCUCUGGGACGGUACUGACGCUGAGACGCGAAAGCGUGGGGAGCGAACAGG